CAUAGCCAGUGCACCAGGACCCACGGAUCCCUGAGCAGAUGUCUGAGGUGGGUUGUUGCUGCGGGAAAGGGCACCAUCCCUACUGGAAAAAGCAGGGUGCAGGGAGGGCGGGGCUGCAGGUGGUCAGAGCACGAAGCAGUAGGGACUAGGCCCCCGGGGAGUCAUAUGUGGAACUGGGUCAGCAGGGAUGCUGAGCCAAAUGGGUGUGUCGCCGUGAAGUGUCUAACGGUCACGCCAGACACAUGCAUGGGGGAGGUCUCCUGGUGCAAGGCAGGUAGGGCCUCUGCCUGAGCCCAGAGGAGCCAGAAGACACAAGGACAGCCUGGUGUGAUGCACGUGCCGUCACCUGCUUUUCAAAUGAUGUGAGUAUUGGUUUCUGCUUGUUUCCGAGUCUCUUACCCUCUGUCAAGGAUCCCCCCCCUUCCUGCAGUCACUCUCCACAGCCCUCCAACUCCACCUACCUGGAGCCUCAGCCGGAAGGAGUCCUUCCUCUCCUAGGAUGCUGCCCCCACCUUCGCUUUUAUCCAGUGGUUCCCAUCUCUUACAUGUUUCCCACCUAACAGCUCGCGUAGUGGCCUACAAGCUCCUUGAAGGCAGGAGCCACGCAUGCAGCCCUGCUGGGGGUUUGAGCUCUGGCUGCCUGGCCUGCUGCCUGUGUUCCUCUGACCCCCUCCUAAGUGCUCAGGAACAACUUAUGGCAGUACUUUUUAAUGGCAGCUGGUUGCUAGUUUUUAAUCAAUGAACCAAAACAAAAACUGAGUAAGUCAAAUAGGCCUAUUCAUUUGCAGUGGCACUAAGUAAAUAAUGCAGACCUUGAUACAUGAAGCUAACCUUUUUCAUCAAUACACACCUUUCAUCUUUCCCCGUCAUUCUGAUGUCCUUUGCUUUGUUUAUACCAAGGUUUAAUGUGACUUUGUAUGCCCGGUCACUGCUCUCUGUGGCUAGAGGGAUGGUCAUGACGACAGAGAGAGCAGCUCUGCCCUGCUGGCCCCUCAGCACGAAUGCCUUCAAGGAGACACAUGGCCGGGGUGGGGGGGCGGGGGGAGUCGCUAUACCGACUCCCAGCCUGGCUUUCCUGGUAGAUACCAGGCUAGACGGCAAGACAGGAACCCUAAAUACUAAGAACCCACGUGAUUAGUAAUCGGAGAAAGCUCUGUGCGUGCACUCGCUGCCUUUUCACUCUGUACAGGAUGCAUCUGCUGGGACCGCAGAACUUCUGCUGGACGCUCAGCAUGACUUAUCCAGCCUGACGUCAGGGUCACAGUGCAACUGGGGACACUGCAGCUUUUGGGCACUGUCAGUACCUCUUCCCCCCCAUCUCUCCACAGAGCCAUCUCCAAGGGCCGGCCAGGAGCUGUGCCCUGCCCCCACCACAAGCUACGGUCUCUUUGGGUGCCAUGCAGGGAGGGAGGUCACACCAUCCGUGAGCAGUGACGGAACGCCUGAAUGACAACAGCCUCUCUGAAGCAGGGUCUGUGUGGUUUUGACAGCCUACUUGUGUCUUUUAACCUUGUGAACACUGGAAGAUGACACGCAGUGAUUACGUAAGGACCCUGGCCUUCAGCCAGAAGCCCCAGCCUCCCCAGCGCACGCGAGGGCGGGGCAGGCCGGCGUGUGCACAGGCGGCGGCCCCUGCAUGGCUGCUGGUGUCUCAGCAAAAUGCGGCGGUAACGUGGUCAGACGUAACAAAGGACCCCCUCCCUCCCCGGGCAAUUUAGCAGCAUUCGUUUCAAUACCCAGAAGAAAAUGUAGCCUUCAACAACAAGGUUAGACCACUACUUAUGGAUUCCCUCU